rnacentral:rRNA from 1 species
UUAAGACGGUGCGAGCAGAUGGGGUAGGAUCUAGGGUGUAGUCGGUAAUCUGAGUUACGUGGUGUAAUGCGGGAGCAGGGGGUUAUAUAAGACAGGUGGGAAAGCCCCGGGCUUAACCUGGGAACUGCAUGUGAGACUGGUGGUGCUAGAAUAUGUGAGAGGGAAGUAGAAUUCCAGGUGUAGCGGUGAAAUGCGUAGAGAUCUGGAGGAAUACCGAUGGCGAAGGCAGCUUCCUGGCAUAAUAUUGACACUGAGAUUCGAAAGCGUGGGUAGCAAACAGGAUUAGAUACCCUUGUAGUC